rnacentral:rRNA from 1 species
AUGAGUUGCAUUAGCUGGAACUGCCGGGAGCUUGGGAACCCCGAGGCAGUUCGUGAACUUCGUAGUAUUGUGAAGUUGGAAGGCCCUGCUCUUCUCUUUGUCAUGGAAAUGAAAAUCAGAGCAAAAAGAGUAGAGGAUUUGCAGAGCAGUUUGGGUUUUGCUGGUAGUUUUGCCGUAGACAGUGCAGGCCUCAGCGGCGGCAUUGGUCUAUUCUGGUCCCGUGAUGUGUCAGUUGAACUUAAUAACUACAGUCAACGGCACAUCGAUGUUUGGGUUACUAAUAACCUACUGAACUCUCCACCCUGGAGGUUCACGGGGUUCUACGAAGCACCGCGUGCGGAUGAAAGGCACCACAGUUGGCGGUUUUUAUGUUCGUUACAUUGUAUUCCUCAUGAUGCAUGGCUGUGCAUGGGGGAUUUCAACGAGACUCUAUACUCAAAUGAACACUUUAGCUGGGCUGCUCGUCCGGAGCGACAAAUGCGAGAUUUUAGGGAGGUCACUGAUGAUGUCUCCCUCCAGGACUUAGACUGGUCAGGCACGGCCUACACAUGGGAUAAUCGUCAGUAUGGAGUGGGUAAUGUAAAAGCACGGUUGGACCGAGCCUUUGCUAAUGAAAAUUUCCGGCAACAGUUUUAG